UGUGGGAGCGAGCUUGCUCGCGAAAGCGUCGUAUCAGUCACAUUUUUUUAUCUGAUACACCGCUUUCGCGAGCAAGCUCGCUCCCACA
rnacentral:antisense_RNA from 1 species